rnacentral:lncRNA from 1 species
AACGGGUAGAGGCCCCGGGUCCCCGCCCCUUCCUCCCUCAGCUGGCCCCGCCCCGCCCCCGGGACUGCGCGAGGCUUGGGUGGGAGGAGGCGGAGGGCGCGUCUCUCCGGCUCCUGGCGCGGGGCUGACUCGGGGGCCGCUGGCCCCUCUUGGCCGCCGUCGCCACGCACCGAGGUGGGAGCCCGCGGCGGCCGGAGCCCUCUUGGGACCCAUGGUCGCCCUCAGUCAGCGGGACUGCUCCCGGGACCGCGACGGGGCGGGGCGGGGCGCUCCAGCGUUGUUUGAGCCCAGGCGCGGAAGGGAAAAGGCCUCUGAGAUGCUCGCGUGUUUUGCCUGGGCGCGGUGGCGCACGCCUGUAAUCCCAGCACUUUGGGAGGCCGAGGCGGGCGGAUCUCCUGAGGUCAGGAGUUCGAGACCAGCGUGGCCAACAUGGUCAAACCGCGUUUCUACUAAAAACUACAAAAAUUAGCCGGGCGUGGUGGCAGGCGCCUUAGUCCCAGCUACUUGGGAGGCAGAGGCAGGAGAAUCGUUUGAACCCGGGAGGCGGAGGUUGCAGUGAGCCCAGAUUAAGCCAUUGCACUCAAACCUGGGGGACAAGAGCGAGACUUCUCUCAAAAAAAAAAAAAAAGUUUUUUUUUCUUUUCUUUUUUUUUUUUUUUUGAGACAGUCUCACUCUGUCGCCCAGGCUGGAGUGCAGUGGCGGGAUCUCGGCUCACUGCAGCCUAUGUCCCUUGACAGUCCACGGGUUAAAGAGAUUCUCCUGCCUCAGCCUCCCCAGUAGCUGGAUUACAGGCCCCGCCACCAAGGCUGGCUAACUUUUGUGUUUUUAGUAGAGAGGGGGUUUCACCGUGUUGGCCAGGCUGGUCUCGAACUCCUGACCUCAAAUGACCCACCUCUGCCUCCCAAAGUGCUGGGAUUCCAGGCGUGAGCCACCGCGCCGGGACCCAAGGCCCUUAAGUUUUAAGGCCUCAUUCUUCAGUCAGGUUUUCCCUGUUCCCGCGUGUUCGGCCAAUUUUUUGUUGUUGUUGUUUUGUUUUUGUUUUUGUUUUUGAGUCAAUUUUCCAGACAUCUUUAAUUAGCAAUAUGUUUAAGUAGUUACAAGCCUUUCCUUCUUUUCUUGUGACAGUUUGGGUUGAAUUUCUAUCGUUUGCAGCCUGUCACUGUAAGGCACAAACAUGAUCACGCAAGAUGCGAUAGUAGAUUUAAGCCAGUUGUUUUUAAGUUUGUGUUUAAGGAGAAACUAACAAUGAAAACGGCCUCGUUGACGGAGGAAAAGUUGGAAUGCAGCCUCUGGUGCUGUUUGAGCGAUCCCUCUCCCCGGGGCCUGGCCGCGCGCUGCUGUGUUCUGGAAGGGCUCAUUGUACAGUCAAGGCGGCAGGGCCUUCUUCUGUCACCCAUGCUGGAGUGCAGUAGCAUGAUCACAGCUCACGGUAGCCUCCACCUUCUGGGCUCAAUCCUCCUACCUCAGCCUUCCAAGUAGCUGGGACUACAGACUAGCCCUGCUUGCAACUUCCACGUGCAGUCCUCCGCAAUGCUGCCAGAGCGGCAGCUACAACUCUAUGAUUGAAGGCAUCGCCCUCCUGGUUCUCCAUAUUGUUUGCCAUCUUGGACAGAUAAACUAGAUGAGCUCUUUUUUCAACACUCAGAGAAUGUUUUGAAUUCACAUUUCUGCCAUCUUACUCACCUAUUCGAAUCAGUUCCCUCCCCCUCCCUUGUAUCAAAUAUUGUCUCUGAUAAUAAUACAUUGAGUUAUUUGUAGUUCCUGAAGAAUUUCAUGUUCUUAUAACAUGAAAUUUUUUCCCACACUAUUUGUUAUAACUAGUUUACCUAUUUCUGCCUAAAUAAAAUCUUCUCCAAAUUUCAGAUCAGACAUUACUUUAGGUGAAGACUUUCCAGUCUGACUUCCCUUACCCGAGCCCAUUGUUCCUACCUCUCCAUUGUGUACCUGGGCCCUGCCCUUCAUCUCGGGUGUCCGGCCUGGAGAAAACUGCACCGUGACGCCACUAACUUCCACUAACUGGAAUCUGCCUUUCCCUCCCCGCUGUCUUUCCUUCCCAUCUCUACCGCCAAUUAAAUCCCCAAACUUUGCUGAUUAACCAUUGAAACAAUCCUUUUAAUCCGUCCAUUUUUUCACUUUGAUUUUUUCAUUGCUAACUCUCUAUGUGAAGCCACCUCACC